UGGGUAAAUCAAUUCCCCUAUCUCCUCUCUCUCUCUCUCUCUAGCGAGAAGAGAGACCUACCGUCUUCUCACUUCUCUCAUUGUCCUCCAAUUCCACCCACCAAUGGCGCGGCCGCGGCCACAGGUCGCCACCACCACUGCCGUCUUGAUCCUAUUUCUCGUGGCCGAGGUCGUUUCCUCUGGCGAAGCAACCACCAUCGUCCUCCGACCACCACGGCAGCAGCAACCGCCACACCAUGUUCCUCCCCCUCUUUCUCUCUCCUCCUCCUAGCAGCUCUUCCGGCAACUCCUCCUCCCCCUCCGUCCGCCGCCAGAUUCAGGGAUCCGACCCUCUCCACCCUAACGCUCACAUCUCCUCUAUGACGAUCUCCUUCUCAACGGGUUUGCUACUUUGUUGCAUCAGUGUCUGAAUUCGAUCAAGAAGGGGUCUGCUAAGGAGAUAGCUUUAGCAGCUCAUGCCAUUGGCAACUCUUUGACCCUUUGUUUUACUCAUUUUGUUUGAUUUGGAGUAGUGUUUGAGAUAUGUUUUUUUGUAGGAUUGCUGGCUCUGACCACUGGUCCUGGGGAAAGAGCUCAGGAAAUAUUGGAAGAAUCAGUUCCUCCUAUUUCACAAGCUCUCAUGUCAACUUGAGAUGCCUUGAUAUGUAGUUGCCACUAAACCUUUACCAGGUGUAAUAACAGCUAUGGUUUCUGCUUGGUCAUUUCUUCUUACCACUAUGGAGGGAUGGACAUUUGAUCCUAAAAUCUGGCAAGAGUCGAUUUCUUAUUUUUCUACUCUGCUAGACAAGGAUGAUAGAUCUGUGCGCAUUGCAGCUGGCGAAGCACUUGCCUUAAUUUUUUAGAUAGGAAACUUUAAGUUCUCUGGUGAAAGUGUAUCAUAUUUCAAAACGUGCUUUCUAAAACGUGCUUUCUUAUUUUUGGAUCACUUUGUAUAGUUAAAUUUAUUGUUUUGGAGUGCAAGUGUAUCAUAUUUCAAAACGUGAUUUCUAAAACGUAAAUCGCUAUGGUAUUAAUCUUUUCUGCCAACACUGGUUCUGCAUGCAUUACCUAUCAUGUUUUUGGAUUUGUACUUUCUAUUGCUUAUUCCAUUAGUCACUUGAUGAGAAUUGUGUUACCACCUCUCAAAGAGGUUUAAACCAGUUUUAUUUGAAGCCGUUUCAAUUUUUUUAAAAUAUAUGUUUAACCAAUCAAACAAUGUGCUAGUUAUUAUGCUUUGCCCAUUGCCAACUUGGGUUUUCUAUGCGGAAGGCUUGAAGUGGUUUCUAUUCGGGACAAUGUUGGGACCUAAUUCCUUGUUAAUUUGUGUUGCUGGGGAUUUUGUAUUAGUCUAUUCUUUCUUUGAAUCUGUGAACCUUUCUUUGUUCCCCUUUUAAAGUCGUUCACUCUUUGUACCGAGAUUGUACAAGUCACCAAACUCGGUCGUCAACAAGGCAAGGACACAAUAUCGGAACAAGCAGCGAAUGUUUUCGCAGAUGGUUUUUGACGUACAAAUGUGGAUAUGAUUUUUUUUGACAAGUACGGAAGGGCAUUGUUUUUAUAUCUCCGUCCGUAUAUAUAGUGGUCCAUACAAAUUAGUUUUUUGGCGUGGUAAAUAUAGCAAUUUGGUUUGAUAGAAAUUAACAUUGGAUGUGGUACAAAUUAGUUUUUGGGGCGGUACAGAAAUUUUUUUUGGUGGUAUAGAUUUCCUUUUAGAUAUUAAAUUUGGUUAAUCCUCUAUUAUGUAUGGAAUUAAAUUAUUGGGGUUGGAUUA